rnacentral:rRNA from 1 species
GUGGCCUAACACAUGCAAGUCGUGCGGGAAAGUGGGGGCAACUCCAUGAGUAGAGCGGCGCACGGGUGAGUAACACGUAGGUAACCUGCCUUCGGGACUGGGAUAACCUGUCGAAAGACGGGCUAAUACCAGAUAAGACCACGGGAGCUUUGGCUCCAAGGGUAAAAGGUGGCCUCUGCUUGCACGCUACCACUCGAAGAUGGGCCUGCGCGCCAUUAGCUUGUUGGUGAGGUAACGGCUCACCAAGGCAAAGAUGGCUAGCUGGUCUGAGAGGAUGGCCAGCCACACUGGGACUGAGACACGGCCCAGACUCCUACGGGAGGCAGCAGUGGGGAAUAUUGCGCAAUGGGCGAAAGCCUGACGCAGCGACGCCGCGUGGGUGAUGAAGGCCUUCGGGUCGUAAAGCCCUGUCGGGAGGGACGAAACCUCGGCGACCUAAUACGUCGUCGACCUGACGGUACCUCCAAAGGAAGCACCGGCUAACUCCGUGCCAGCAGCCGCGGUAA